ACGUGCCCAAUCGUGGGGGAUAACGCAGCGAAAGCUGUGCUAAUACCGCAUACGAUCUACGGAUGAAAGCAGGGGAUCGCAAGACCUUGCGCGAAUGGAGCGGCCGAUGGCAGAUUAGGUAGUUGGUGAGGUAAAGGCUCACCAAGCCUUCGAUCUGUAGCUGGUCUGAGAGGACGACCAGCCACACUGGGACUGAGACACGGCCCAGACUCCUACGGGAGGCAGCAGUGGGGAAUUUUGGACAAUGGGCGCAAGCCUGAUCCAGCCAUGCCGCGUGCAGGAUGAAGGCCUUCGGGUUGUAAACUGCUUUUGUACGGAACGAAACGGCCUUUUCUAAUAAAGAGGGCUAAUGACGGUACCGUAAGAAUAAGCACCGGCUAACUACGUGCCAGCAGCCGCGGUAAUACGUAGGGUGCAAGCGUUAAUCGGAAUUACUGGGCGUAAAGCGUGCGCAGGCGGUAAUGUAAGACAGUUGUGAAAUCCCCGGGCUCAACCUGGGAACUGCAUCUGUGACUGCAUUGCUGGAGUACGGCAGAGGGGGAUGGAAUUCCGCGUGUAGCAGUGAAAUGCGUAGAUAUGCGGAGGAACACCGAUGGCGAAGGCAAUNCCCCUGGGCCUGUACUGACGCUCAUGCACGAAA
rnacentral:rRNA from 1 species